rnacentral:rRNA from 1 species
CAGUAGCCGCGGGAAAACGUAGGGUGCAAGCGUUAAUCGGAAUUACUGGGCGUAAAGCGUGCGCAGGCGGUGUUGUAAGACUGAUGUGAAAUCCCCGGGCUCAACCUGGGAACUGCAUUGGUGACUGCAACGCUGGAGUGCGGCAGAGGGGGAUGGAAUUCCGCGUGUAGCAGUGAAAUGCGUAGAUAUGCGGAGGAACACCGAUGGCGAAGGCAAUCCCCUGGGCCUGCACUGACGCUCAUGCACGAAAGCGUGGGGAGCAAACAGGAUUAGAGACCCCAGUAGUCCCUGUCUCUUAUAC